rnacentral:lncRNA from 1 species
GGUAGUCCUGAGCAGGCGAAGGGUAAGGACAAGAUAUAGUGAUGUCUUGCUUAUCUGAUAUUUUGAAUGGCUUCUCCGCUGUGUAGAUAUUUUGAGAUCACUCUAUAAUGAUCUAGCUCCUAGUUUUAUUUUGGGGACUUUUGUGUAUAUUUUGUGUCAUGUAUCAUUUUCUUUUGGGCAUGUAAAUAUGUACACUGUUGCCGCUAGGCGCUUAUGUAUUUCAGUAUCAG